GACGAACGCUGGCGGCGUGCUUAACACAUGCAAGUCGAACGGAAAGGCCCUGCUUUUGUGGGGUGCUCGAGUGGCGAACGGGUGAGUAACACGUGAGUAACCUGCCCUUGACUUUGGGAUAACUUCAGGAAACUGGGGCUAAUACCGGAUAGGAGCUCCUGCUGCAUGGUGGGGGUUGGAAAGUUUCGGCGGUUGGGGAUGGACUCGCGGCUUAUCAGCUUGUUGGUGGGGUAGUGGCUUACCAAGGCUUUGACGGGUAGCCGGCCUGAGAGGGUGACCGGCCACAUUGGGCCUGAGAUACGGCCCAGACUCCUACGGGAGGCAGCAGUGGGAAAUAUUGCACAAUGGGCGGAAGCCUGAUGCAGCAACGCCGCGUGCGGGAUGACGGCCUUCGGGUUGUAAACCGCUUUCGCCUGUGACGAAGCGUGAGUGACGGUAAUGGGUAAAGAAGCACCGGCUAACUACGUG
rnacentral:rRNA from 1 species